AGUGAACGCUGGCGGUAGGCCUAACACAUGCAAGUCGAACGGCAGCACAGUAAGAGCUUGCUCUUACGGGUGGCGAGUGGCGGACGGGUGAGGAAUACAUCGGAAUCUACUUUUUCGUGGGGGAUAACGUAGGGAAACUUACGCUAAUACCGCAUACGACCUACGGGUGAAAGCAGGGGAUCUUCGGACCUUGCGCGAUUGAAUGAGCCGAUGUCGGAUUAGCUAGUUUGCGGGGUAAAGGCCCACCAAGGCGACGAUCCGUAGCUGGUCUGAGAGGAUGAUCAGCCACACUGGAACUGAGACACGGUCCAGACUCCUACGGGAGGCAGCAGUGGGGAAUAUUGGACAAUGGGCGCAAGCCUGAUCCAGCCAUACCGCGUGGGUGAAGAAGGCCUUCGGGUUGUAAAGCCCUUUUGUUGGGAAAGAAAAGCAGCAGGUUAAUACCCCGCUGUUCUGACGGUACCCAAAGAAUAAGCGCCGGCUAACUUCGUG
rnacentral:rRNA from 1 species